GGAUCUCACACACAAAGACUUUCCGUCGAGUAUCACCCUCAUUUGUCCUUCAGUGUGGAUUAGGUUCUUAAAUUUUUUCACCUAAAUUUGAGGUUUGGGAAUUACUUACAGUAGUCAAAGCUGUUCUUGGCACUAUGGUUGCUCCAGUUGUGGGAUGUCAUUAAUCCCACAGUUCCGACCUCAUGGCUCAGAGAUGUCACCAUGGAAACAUCUGACUGCAAUUAUGACCCGGUGCAGGCAUGAGAAGCAAAGCUCUGCCCCUCACCCUAAAGGAAUAGAGAUGGAAGAGGAGGCGGUGAGUCUGGGUGGAAGCCUGCACUAUAGGAGACGCCUCGCAGGAUUCUUUCAUGGAGAAGCGCACCUGCUGGUGCCUUUUAAAAUGGGCCUCACUGCAGGAAGCAUCUGCCUGUGUCAACACCGGCAGCAGCCAGGGGCUCCGGGGAGGAUCCUGCGCUCCACAGGGUGAGCCGCUGAGGGAGACCUCUGCGUCUGUCUGACAUGGGACUUCGCGUCAAGAAAACUGGGCAGAAGCCCAGAGAGAGCCCCAGCAACGGAGCAAAAGCCUUGGACCUCGUCCCCCUCCUGGUUUUCUGGCGCCGGGAUUCUUAGACAGUUCCACGAAAAAUGGGAGAGAUGCUCUCCUGACCAGGAUCACCAUCCUCGAGGGGGUGGGCCAGGUGGGACUCAAAGUGAUUCACCUGUCUUAGAAAAAGAGAUAAAUGUCAAGUUUCUCAUAUUUGAGUGUUAGGAGUAAACAUCUCAUUUGUGGCAGAGAGGAGGGAAACUUUUUUUUUUUUUUUUGCUGAGACUGAAGCAAAGAGUUUAAAGCUGCGGUGAUGGAGAUCAAUUUGCUCCUGGAAGGCAGCCUGGAGGGUGAAAUCUUAGCAUAAAGAAUUUAAGAUCUGAUAGAAAUGUGGCUCAGGUAAACUAAGGGAAUGUGAGGUUAGAUUUGUAAGUUGAAGCUGUAAGUGUUCAGAAGGCUCUAGAAAAAUGAAUUCUAAGUGUUGCCGAAAUGCCUGUUAGGAGGGAGAAAUGGACCCGCCUCCUCCUCCCCACACCUCACCCUCAGGCAUCAGCAAAAUGUACCUGGUAAUUGCUUUGUGAUGAAAAUGUAAUUAAAUUUGUUUAUUUCUGGUCUUCGCAACUAAUGAGACUGGCUUUGAUCUAGGCCCCCUAGCUGAAUGAAAUCUAUGGAUUAAAAGCUUAAAUCUAUAUUUUGGUUUAAAUUUUCUCUUUCUCUGCACCCAGGAUAUCUCAGUCCAUGGACCACAUCCCAGGGAUGGAGAGUUUUUUUUCCUUUUAAAUUAAUUGAUUGGAUGUAGGUUUAACGACUGUGUGAACAGAUUCCUUCACAUGAAAUAAUGAAAGGAAUAUUGACCCUGGCCCUGAGGUUGUUGAAGAGUGUUAAUGGAGGAGAUUGCAAAGACCCAAAGCCACAAAGGCCUUGUAUGGCUGUUUUACCCACAAAAAGGCAGAGAAAUAUUUUAAUCUUCUUCUUGAGUCUGAAAAAGAGAUCUGAUUUUUAUCUCCUCAAGGCAAAAUAAUCUCAUAUGACCAUAAAUAUGCAAAAUGACUUUCCUUUUGCUCUAAUUGCUAUGGAAUAGCUGAGCUAUUUCCACAUGGAUAGAAAGGUGGAAAGAAUAGUAUAAAAAGCACUCAUUUCUAACCACUUGGAAUUAACGUAGAAUAUUUUUGUUAUAUUCGUCAUUUUGUUUUUGUAACAAAAUGAAAUAUUACAGAUAAUAAACCUUAAGUGACAUUUGGCCUCA
rnacentral:lncRNA from 1 species